GACGAACGCUGGCGGCGUGCUUAACACAUGCAAGUCGAACGAUGAAGCCGGAGCUUGCUCUGGUGAAUUAGUGGCGAACGGGUGAGUAACACGUGAGUAACCUGCCCUUGACUCUGGGAUAACUGCUAGAAAUGGUAGCUAAUACCGGAUACGACCCUCGGAGGCAUCUCCAGGGGGUGGAAAGAAUUUCGGUCAAGGAUGGACUCGUGGCCUAUCAGCUAGUUGGUGAGGUAAUGGCUCACCAAGGCGACGACGGGUAGCCGGCCUGAGAGGGUGACAGGCCAAACUGGGACUGAGACACGGCCCAGACUACUACGGGAGGCAGCAGGGGGGAAUAUUGCACAAUGGGCGCAAGCCUGAUGCAGCAACGCCGCGUGAGGGAUGACGGCCUUCGGGUUGUAAACCUCUUUUAGUAGGGAAGAAGCGAAAGUGACGGUACCUGCAGAAAAAGCACCGGCUAACUACGUGCCAGCAGCCGCCGUAA
rnacentral:rRNA from 1 species